rnacentral:rRNA from 1 species
GUCCUAGCCCUAAACGAUGCUCAUUAGGUGUGGGAGGUAUCGACCCCUUCCGCGCCGUAGCUAACGCAUUAAAUGAGCCGCCUGGGGAGUACUGCCGCAAGGUUGAAACUCAAAGGAAUUGACGGGGGCCCGCACAAGCGGUGGAGCAUGUGGUUUAAUUCGACGCAACGCGAAGAACCUUACCUGGGCUUGAACUACUGGUAGUAAGUCUUUGGAAACAUGGACUGAUCCGCAAGGAAGCCAGCAGAGGUGCUGCAUGGUUGUCGU